CCAGGCCCCGCCCCUGCCCCGGCUGCCGGGUGGGAGACGGUCCGCGCAACGCGCAUGCUCCAAGAGCGGCGCCCCCGACUCUGCGCUCGGCUCUGCUCGGGCAUUUCCGCCUCUUUGUUUUAAACUCCGGACGGGUUUUUUUCUCUUGCUCUUGGGGGGGACCCGGAGGGAGCGGCGCCCCCUCCCUCUCCCGGCGCGGCCCCCGCGUGCGCCCCGCUCGCCCGAAGCUGAGACGGCAGGUAAAGGAAGAGACCAUUUGCCUGAGCAGCCGAAGCUGCUGGUCCGGGAAGCCAGGCUCUGUGUGGACGGCACGUGUGGGUGACGCCUCGUCCCGUGUGUCUCCACAGGCUUCAAAAAUGUAGCGGACGAUCCGGCUGUGUGUACAGAAAAUGGAAAGACAGCGAGAGACACAAGGCAGGCACAGACGUGACGAGCCAGAGCGCAGAGGGCACGGCGGACGAGGAGUGACCGCGUCGCACCCGUAGCCGGAAGCGUCCGAUGCAGAGGCAGCAGGAGGGGACAGACGGCCUCGCGAGGAGAAGCCAAAGAUGUUGACCAGAAAGAUUAAACUCUGGGACAUAAACGCCCACAUCACCUGCCGCCUAUGCAGCGGGUAUCUCAUCGACGCGACCACGGUGACCGAGUGUCUGCACACGUUCUGCCGGAGCUGCCUGGUGAAGUACCUGGAGGAGAACAACACGUGCCCCACGUGCAGGAUCGUCAUCCACCAGAGCCACCCUCUGCAGUACAUCGGUCAUGACAGAACCAUGCAAGAUAUUGUUUACAAAUUGGUCCCAGGCCUCCAAGAAGCGGAAAUGAGAAAACAGAGGGAAUUCUACCACAAAUUAGGCCUGGAAGUGCCUGGAGACGUCAAGGGGGAGACCUGUUCUGCAAAACAGCACCUAGAUUCCCAUCGAAAUGGAGAAACCAAAGCGGAUGACAGUUCGAACAAAGAAGCGGCCGAGGAGAAGCAGGAGGAGGACGGCGACUACCACAGGAGCGACGAGCAGGUGAGCAUCUGUCUGGAAUGCAACAGCAGCAAACUGCGGGGCUUGAAACGGAAAUGGAUCCGCUGCUCAGCCCAGGCCACAGUCCUGCACCUAAAGAAGUUCAUUGCCAAAAAACUCAACCUCUCGUCUUUCAACGAGCUGGACAUUUUAUGCAACGAGGAGAUCCUUGGCAAGGACCACACGCUCAAAUUCGUCGUUGUCACAAGGUGGAGAUUCAAGAAAGCACCGCUCCUGCUGCACUACAGACCCAAGAUGGACCUGCUGUGAGCCGCGGCACAGCAAAGACUCAGCCGCCCGGGGGCCCCGCGAGGACGCAGCCAGGUGGGGCCGCCAACGCGUAGGGUGCUGCCCUGGGCGCCGUUUGGACUGGAUCCCGAGCAGAGAAUACGUAUCACUUCUGUAUGAGAAUCGCACUCGCCGAGACGCCCCGGCACAGGGUUGCAGGCGGGACGCGCCUCGCGGCCGGAGCCACCUCUGCUCCGGCUCGCCGACCAGCGGGAGGGUGCGGCGACGGCCUUCAUCCCGACCCGUGACCUUUGCUUGCUUUCCAGGUCUUGAAAAUCUCGGUCACUUCCGUUCAGUUUAUGAAUUAGGUUUCACGAUAAGCCCCCAAAAUAACUUGUACGUUUAUUGAAUCCUUCCUAAGUUAUUGACAAAAUGUCUUUUCACGGUGAAUGACGAUAUUUAUGUUGCCUUUAGCUUCCUGAAGACUUAGAAGAUAUAUAAAAAUUUAAUUUAAAAGCAUACCAAAAGAGGUUUCCAUGAGUAUCGUGAGUUAACCAUGGUAUUUCAUUUUCCACGUCAGGGAACGUGAAGCCGAGGGCUGCCCUGACUCGCGGGGGCCCGCGGCCCGGCUGGGGGGCUGCACCCUGACCCCGAUGCGGCCGCCCCGCCCGGUCAGCAGGGCGGGCCGGAAGACGACAGUUCGCAGGACGAUUCUUGUUCUCAAAAAUUGCUUCUCUUAAAUAGGGCACAGGUGGUUCAGUGCCGUCGUUUUACUUCCCGCUUAUUCUUUCCCAUUUUUGUUUUGCUGAAGAGAUUGAUGGUGGUGGCGGGGGGCCUUUCCCGAGACGGCGCCCCCGUCCGCGGCGGGGCUGGUGCCCAGGGGGCGUGCCUCCACCAAAGCCCCACGUGUGCAGACCCCGGGUCCCACCGCGCCCGCCUUCGGAGGUGGGCACGGAGCAGCUGGCACUCUGGCCGCUGUUGGCGGGGACGCUGGAGCCACAGAGGGCGGGCGGGCGGGCCCCUGCGCGGCUGCGGCUGCCUGUCCAGUGACUUAAUGACCUGCAGCGCGGGCAGACGCAGCACACCCUCUGUUAGCCCUUUCUCCUCCCAAAUGUUAAUAUUUUUGUGGAAUUGGAGAAUAAACUCUUUGCCGGCACAUCCAUUUUUGUUCCUUUAAGGUAGUAACUUGGAAUGUGUGAAGACAGGAACGAGGAGAUGGGCCUUCUCCCGGUGGUAAGCUGGUCCCCGCUCCAUGGCCGUCCCUGUCCGCAUCCGGUGGCUUCUGCCUGACCUUUGGGCUCCUCCCUUUCUGUCACCUCCUGCAUCACCAGGGCCCUGGGGUCCUGGGGCCGCUUCAUUUGGUAGGUGGUCCUGACAGUGGCUUGAGAGCCGGGUUUUCCAUGAAGAACUUCACCUUGGUGACUAGAAUUUUUCUUGAACUUGCUUUGGCAGUGGUGGUUGGGCUCAUCGACGUUCAAGUUUGUUUGUUUUUUUCUGCUUCCUGUUUCAUACUUCUAAAUGUCAGAAGCAGCUCCUUAGUGAUGGGAAAAGCAAAUUAACUCAGUCCAAGUGGUUUUAAUAUAAGGCCUUUCAAAAACAUAAAACCAAGUGUUUCUUAGGAAUUGGUCAAAAUUCAUCUCUUUGUUUCAGCCUGUUAUUCCCGGGACUGUUUGAAUUAUUCAGUUACCUGAGCUUGCUGUUCGUCCAGAUCAUUUUUUAGGGUUACUAUUCAAGGGUUCAGUGAGUAGAUGUGUAUGACUAAGUAUUACCUGUCUACCUCAAAUACACAUUUCUGCUGAAGCAUUCUGUAAAACCGUGUGUUCUCAAUGCAGUUGAAGUGUAACAUUAGAAUUUAGGUAUUUUCCUGUGUGAUGAAAGUAAGGAAGGAUUAAACAGUAUGAGCGUCCAAAUUCAAAUAAAAUUAAUUCACAGGUCAGAUUAAAAUGGACCUGGCUGUAUAAUCUCAUAGUAUAUAUUUGUAACUUUGCAGCUAUCUUUGCAAUCACUUGAAUUUGCUAUGGUGCUAAGUUGAUGUACUUAAUACACAGAGAGGUGGAGAUGAGUCAGAGCUGGCGUCACCACCCCCACUGGGCCCUGACCACCUGCUGAUCCCACGUUUGUAACCGUGUCACCCUGAUGAAACCUCAGCAGCAGAAGUACCCAUUUUUCUAAGAUGUCCUCGUGCAGACCGUCUUCACCACAAGAGAUCCCUGUUCCCGCCACCUCUGGUCUGACCACAGCCUUAUGGGGACGGAGCUGGGGGCCUCGCCGUCAGAGGGAAACUUUCACUUUUCUCUCAUGUCCGUUUAACAUCAAAGGCAGGAUUUUAUCUUUUCCAGCAUGAAAGCCAGGAUCAGUUAGAGAUUGGAUCCUAUUAAGUUUUGUUUUGUUUUGUUUUGUUUUAACGGAUGGAGUUACUGUGAAGUAGUUUUCACAGCUAUUUAUGCUGGUAAAACAAACGCUGUCAGUUACCGAACGGCACCCUCAUCAGCAGCGUGGGCCCGUCAGCAGCACAGGGUCUCACUAGGUACAGGCGUCAUGAAAAUAGAAGAUUCAGAUAGAAUAUAUAAUAUUGAAUUUAAGAUUUGGGGGGUUAAAAAGAAGAAAACUUAACUUUAUAAAAUUAUUUAUUCUAUUUUAAGCCUUCUAUCAUAUUUUCCCAUGCAAUUGUUUGGUUUCAGUGGUCCAGCUUUAUUUACAGGCAUAUAAGGUAAAGUUGUGAGGUGUUUGGCAAGCUUCUUCUUUUUACUUUGAGUAGCGUUUCAUUUGUGUGUGUUGUUGUACGUGGACGAGGAGCAGUUUACGCUUCUGUGCAACAGGCUGCAGCGCGCGUUCACUAGACUUACGUUGCAUUGUCCGUAGCGUCUGUUCUGCUGAAUUGAGGCAGUGUAGGCAGACUCUCAGAACGUGUACGUUCAGCUCUUUGGUUUUCCUUUUCCGUCGUCGUUCUCAUGAAAACACUGCUGCUGGGAGUGCGCGUGGGCCUGUGCAAGGGGCCUGGGCCGUGGGUAAGAGUGAGUGACCGGCCAGCGGCCGCAAGGUGACACGUGGCCUAGACUGGCCUCGUGCCUCAGACCCCGCGUGCUGGUGGCCCGGGACGCACCCCUGUGUCGACCACAGAUGUGACGGUGCUACUUCCCCAGGCUCCUGAGCCCGCCAGGGCGUGCGGCCUUGAUGCCUCCUCGUGGCAUUUGAGGUCUUUAGAAAUUCGUUUGUUUUUUCUUCAAAGCCCACAGGAUGGAUUUUACAGUGAUUUUGAAGUGUGUCAUUGGAUUGAAUAUUAUAGGAACAAGCCAGCUGAUUUCUACUUUGUACGUGAAUAUUUGAUGUGCUCUCAAAACAUUGAAAACACAUGUAGUGCAGAUAAAUCACAAAAAGUUCAGUUUCUCCGUUUCCUCAGGAAAUCAUUUACACUCCAGCACAUCACAUGUGACCUUAGUGUGAUAAACCAAUGUGUUCCUCUGCCUUGGUAUUUAAACAAACUAAAUAGGUUAGGAUAAGUCGGUUAGAAAACGAUUCAAGUGACACCGAAAUCAUCACUGAGAUUCUGUCCCUUCCUGGGGACUGCCGGGCCCCUCACCAGCUCACGUGAGUCUCCGCGUCCAUGGGUGCAUCUGAAGUUUACGUGUCCCCUAGAACGUGUGUAGCAUUAGCGUAAAUGUCUAUUUCAACAGCUUCAUUGGGUGCAAGAAAACCAUUUUUCCCGUAUGAUGCAGCGUUCAGGGGCGAGAGCCCUUGCCGACCCUGGCAUCCCGUGUGGAGAUUGGGGGCUCUGGGGGAUUGUGGAGGUGACGCUGCAGACAAAUGUUUUUGACUGUUUAGUUUGGAAGUUUACAUUUUUUAUGCUUUGUGUUGGUGUGUAAUUUUUUGUACUCUUGGUGGCUAGUUUUUAUCUAAAAUCUUUUUUGGAAUAUUGCUUAACUGUUUUGAUUUUAUGAUAGUGAAGCUUGUACUCAGUGUUUUGCCAAUUGAUAUUAUAUGCUUGUAAUAAAAGCAAAAGGAAAACCUACCUAGUUCUCUGAGGCUGGACAUUUGUUACCUAAGAUGUUUGUAAGAGCGUGAGAUAGGUGCCCUGUUAAGGUGAUACAGUGUAACGAAGAGUCCGUGGGUAUUGGUGAGGGCGCAUACACGCCACACCAGGCCCUCCCCUCCCACCCCCGGCCUGGACCCUCACAGGUUAAUGACUCUGCCCCACAUGGUGUUUGUGACUGUCACCUUGGUUGCAGAACUUCAUUAAGCUGGCCCAGUGUUGGCACCCGAGGUUUGGUGGGGCCUCUGGGAGCCCACACUCGCCUGUUUGCUUGGAGAGAGAACUGUCUUUGGUUUGCAGCUGUGUGUGCCAGGGAGCCUGUGUUAAAGAAAACCUCUGAUCCCGUGAGCGGUGGACCGCCGGUGGGAGUUGCACCCUCUCUUGGCGUGUUAGGACACGUGUGCAUACACGUUUCUCGUGAGGGUGCCCUCUGCCUCGCUUUUGUUCUGUCCAGGCCUUGGUGGGGGGCGGUGAGUGAUACCCACCCACACGGGAGGGCCCAGCCCACCGGCUCUAAGACUCAUCUCUUCUGGGAACACCCUCACACACACACCAGAGUAAUUUUAAUCUCGGCACUGGGGCCCUGCCAGGUCGACAUGUGAAAUCAGCUAUCGCAGACAGCUUACUAUACCCAAAACUUCUAAUUUUUAAAGGUUAAGUAAUUUACAGCAAUCUUGAAAAUCUGAGGAAACUAGAAUUGAAAAAAAGGGAGAAUAUGUUGACCAAAAUUAUGCUCUCGUGGGUUUCAGAUCAUUAAACUUAAAAGAUAAAUUUAGUCUUAAGAAACUGAUUUUACCUAUUUUACUUAUGUUCGGUAAGUCGUUUACUCCACCUAACGAAUGUCAAGAUGCCAAAGCCGCGUGUAAACGUCCACGUUCACCGAGGCGCUGGGCGAACAGCAGGGCUGGCAGGAAGCAGGCUUCAUCCGGCCCCAUUCGCUGGGCUCCACAUGGGCAACGAGCCGGGGCCCCAGACGCCAGGAAAAGGCGACUCCAGGGAAGAGUGAGAAGGAGAUUAGCCAGGCCCAAGGCUCCCCUGCCCCCCAGCGCCUGAGCCUGGGAGGAAGGGCUGCUGACGGACAGUUAGCUGCGCCCACCCGUAGCGCUCACGGGAGAUCUGCUUCUCCAGCAAGACUCUGUUUGCAUGAACAUGUAAGUCCCGCUUUAACCGGCAGCGCUGUUGCAGAUGUGAUCCUGCAUCCCGGGCCGUGAGACAGAGGCUUUGGAGGCCGCAGGAAAGGAGCACACAGCACGCACGGCCAGGGGCCUCCGCCAUACCUGCUGCCUGGCCGAGGGGAGGUGGGGCAUCUGGUUAUGUGGAAUAGAGAAAACACUGGUGUUUGUACCGCAUCUGCUGGUCCCGAGAGCGGCUGGUGGGUGUCCUGGACGCCCACCCAGGCAGCAGCGUCACAGCAAACACACGGACCCCUUUGCUCCUCUGCGGGCUGCAUCUGCACGGCUGCAUCUCGAAGAAUAUUGGCGGUGAAGGAAGCUUGCUGUGCGUUCCGACUUGAGUGAGGAGAUUCUAAACGUCUCCAUUUAAGCACAGUUGUGGAGUUUUGAUAAAUACCGUUGACUAAGUCGAGAAAUUUCCUUCUGUUAAAGCUCACUAGACAUUUUAGAAUGUGUAAUUUCCAUUUUUUAAAUUACAAAUUUUAAGUAAAAAAAAAAAAAAUUUAACCUUUCUGUUUUGUUUUUGGAUUUUUAACACAUACACAGAUUCAUGCAACCACCACUACAAUCAGGACACAGAAUGGCUCCAUCAUCCCAGGACCUCCUGAGUGCCGGUCCUUUUCUGCCACCACCCCCCGUAAUUCCUGGCAACCACUGAUCUGCGGCAUUAUAAUCUUGCCUUUACCAAGGCCAAGGCGGCUCCAGCUCCCGCUCAGGUUCCCACAAAGGCUCCCGAGUAGAGACCUUUAUCUGCCCAUGUGAGGACAGAAGGACUAGUGUGACCCCUGGGCUGCUGUCUGCAUGGGGCUGGUGUCCUGUGCUAUUUGUACAAGUAAACCUGAGGCAGGAUCUGUCAAAAAAAAAAAUGUCGUGUAAAUAGAAUUGUACACGUCACCUUUGAGACUGGAUUCCUUGACUCAGCAUACUGCCUUUGAGAUCUAUCUGAGUGGCCGAAUAGUUCAUACUUCCUGUGACAUGGAUGGACCACAGUUUGCCAGUUUACCUGAUGAAAGGCUUUUGCAUUUUCAAUUUUUGAUGAUUGUGAACCUCAUGUACAGGUUUGCAUGUGGACAUAAGGUUUGUUUCUCUACAAAGUAGGAUUUCUGGGUCGUAUGGUGAGUGUAUGUUUAACUUUAAGAAACUGCUGAACAGGAUUUUCCUGAUGAUUCAGUGGUUAAAAUCCGCCUUCCAAUGCAGCGGGCACGGGUUCUAUCCCUGGUUGGAGAACUAAGAUCCCACAUGCCGCGUGGUGUGGCCAAAAAAAAGAAAAAGAGAAAAGAAACCUCCGAACGACAGUUUCCAGACUGGCUGCCCGACUUUGCAUUUCCAGCUGCAAGGCCUGAGCCAUUCCAGGCACCCCACAUCCCAAACUGUCAGUGUUCUCUUUGAUUUUAGACGUUUUUGAUGGUGUGUAGUGGUAUGUCAUUGUGGUUUGAAUUCGCAUUUCCCUAAUGGCUUUGACGUUGGUCAUCUUUUCAUGUGCUUAUCUGUCAUUAUAUCAACUUUGGUGCAGUGUCUAUUCAUGUCU